AGGCUCAACUGGUCCAGGCAUUCCCCUUUCUGUCCAUCUUCCUAUGAGCAAGUGCUGCUGGCUGUGCUGAGCUGGAUGAGGCAGGCUUUAUGGCAGACUCUACGGUUUGCAAUUCACAUCUCUGCCAAAACACAGUCUACCUUCAAGUGAUAUUAAACCACCGGACAUAGAUUAGGAAAACCUCACAAUGAAGAUUCUACAAUACCUUACACUCAGCCUGGGUGCUCAAUCUUGAACUGUAUAAAGGAAUCCCAGAAAUCCACAGCUAGAAUGC